rnacentral:rRNA from 1 species
UACGUAGGUGGCAAGCGUUGUCCGGAUUUAUUGGGUUUAAAGGGUGCGUAGGCGGUCCUAUAAGUCAGUGGUGAAAUACGGCAGCUCAACUGUCGAGGUGCCAUUGAUACUGUAGGACUUGAGUACAGAUGAGGUAGGCGGAAUUGACGGUGUAGCGGUGAAAUGCUUAGAUAUCGUCAAGAACACCGAUAGCGAAGGCAGCUUACUAGACGGUAACUGACGCUGAGGCACGAAAGUGUGGGGAUCAAACAGG